UACGUAGGGUGCAAGCGUUAAUCGGAAUUACUGGGCGUAAAGCGUGCGCAGGCGGUUGUGCAAGACCGAUGUGAAAUCCCCGGGCUUAACCUGGGAAUGGCAUUGGUGACUGUACGGCUAGAGUGUGUCAGAGGGGGUAGAAUUCCACGUGUAGCAGUGAAAUGCGUAGAGAUGUGGAGGAAUACCGAUGGCGAAGGCAGCCCCCUGGGAUAACACUGACGCUCAUGCACGAAAGCGUGGGGAGCAAACAGG
rnacentral:rRNA from 1 species